UACGUAGGGGGCAAGCGUUGUCCGGAAUCAUUGGGCGUAAAGCGCGUGUAGGCGGCCAGGUAAGUCCGUUCUGAAAGCCCGGGGCUCAACCCCGGGAGGCGGAUGGAUACUGCUUGGCUCGAGUCCGGAAGAGGCGAGUGGAAUUCCCGGUGUAGCGGUGAAAUGCGCAGAUAUCUGGAGGAACACCGGUGGCGAAGGCGGCAUCCUGGACCGGGAUUGACACUGAGGCGCGAAAGCCAGGGGAGCAAACGGG
rnacentral:rRNA from 1 species